rnacentral:ncRNA from 2 species
UCUUUGCAAAAAAUUUAAGGUUGUGUUACUGAUUUAUUUAGCACAUUAAAAAGGGAAUCAAGUAAAAACUUGAGCUGUACCCGCAACUGUAAGCUUAGUUCAGAAAUGAAUGCUUGUUGUUAACUACAAAACCACUGCUCGCUCUGGCGAAUGGGAAGGUAAACAACAAGACGCGAGCCAGGAGACCUGCCUUUGUAACUAAUAUCGA